rnacentral:rRNA from 1 species
CCGGAGAACUGAAACAUCUUAGUACCCGGAGGAAGAGAAAGAAAAUUCGAUUCCCUUAGUAGCGGCGAGCGAAACGGGAAGAGCCCAAACCAAAAAGCUUGCUUGUUGGGGUUGUAGGACACUCUAUACGGAGUUACAAAGGACGACAUUAGACGAAUCAUCUGGAAAGAUGAAUCAAAGAAGGUAAUAAUCCUGUAGUCGAAAAUGUUGUCUCUCUUGAGUGGAUCCUGAGUACGACGGAGCACGUGAAAUUCCGUCGGAAUCUGGGAGGACCAUCUCCUAAGGCUAAAUACUCUCUAGUGACCGAUAGUGAACCAGUACCGUGAGGGAAAGGUGAAAAGCACCCCGGAAGGAGAGUGAAAUAGAACCUGAAACCGUGUGCUUACAAGUAGUCAGAGCCCGUUAAUGGGUGAUGGCGUGCCUUUUGUAGAAUGAACCGGCGAGUUACGAUUUGAUGCAAGGUUAAGCAGUAAAUGUGGAGCCGUAGCGAAAGCGAGUCUGAAUAGGGCGUUUAGUAUUUGGUCGUAGACCCGAAACCAGGUGAUCUACCCUUGGUCAGGUUGAAGUUCAGGUAACACUGAAUGGAGGACCGAACCGACUUACGUUGAAAAGUGAGCGGAUGAACUGAGGGUAGCGGAGAAAUUCCAAUCGAACCUGGAGAUAGCUGGUUCUCUCCGAAAUAGCUUUAGGGCUAGCCUCAAGUGAUGAUUAUUGGAGGUAGAGCACUGUUUGGACGAGGGGCCCCUCUCGGGUUACCGAAUUCAGACAAACUCCGAAUGCCAAUUAAUUUAACUUGGGAGUCAGAACAUGGGUGAUAAGGUCCGUGUUCGAAAGGGAAACAGCCCAGACCACCAGCUAAGGUCCCAAAAUAUAUGUUAAGUGGAAAAGGAUGUGGCGUUGCCCAGACAACUAGGAUGUUGGCUUAGAAGCAGCCAUCAUUUAAAGAGUGCGUAAUAGCUCACUAGUCGAGUGACACUGCGCCGAAAAUGUACCGGGGCUAAACAUAUUACCGAAGCUGUGGAUUGUCCUUUGGACAAUGGUAGGAGAGCGUUCUAAGGGCGUUGAAGCAUGAUCGUAAGGACAUGUGGAGCGCUUAGAAGUGAGAAUGCCGGUGUGAGUAGCGAAAGACGGGUGAGAAUCCCGUCCACCGAUUGACUAAGGUUUCCAGAGGAAGGCUCGUCCGCUCUGGGUUAGUCGGGUCCUAAGCUGAGGCCGACAGGCGUAGGCGAUGGAUAACAGGUUGAUAUUCCUGUACCACCUAUAAUCGUUUUAAUCGAUGGGGGGACGCAGUAGGAUAGGCGAAGCGUGCGAUUGGAUUGCACGUCUAAGCAGUAAGGCUGAGUAUUAGGCAAAUCCGGUACUCGUUAAGGCUGAGC